UUUUUUUUUUUUUUACAAGACAUAGAGUAAAAUAUAUUUACCAAACUACCCUUUACUUAAUUUGGGGUUACCUCUUAUCAAAUUACAUUUUGCAAAAACAACCCUAGUUUUUCUGUAAUUAUAAAAAUACCCUUUUUACUUACACUUUUAAAUUUUCAAAAGUUUCACAUAACACACAUGAGCUUCACACAAACAGACACAUACUUCACACUAACAAAUUAUGUGCCUAGUUUACAAACACAUGAACUGUCACAGCCUUCCCCCCUAAAAAGAAUCUCGUCCCGAGAUUCGGACGAAAGAUUCUUAAAGGAAGAGAAGCAAAUUAUUCAUUAGAAGUAACAGGAAGCAAUCACACCAAGAAGAUUGAUGUCAGUGUUAAAAGUCGUUGAAGUAUGACAAGAUAAGUGUAGCAAGAGCAAGAAUAAUUGGUACAUAAAUGAGUUUGGUAUGAUAAGAGAGAACAAGGUGAUUGAAUUCUCGCAAAGCUA
rnacentral:lncRNA from 1 species